CGGUGCGCCCCGCCGCCCGCCAGAGGCUCGGCUCGCGCGGCGCGGCCGCUGCGACUUCCUGGAGUUCUGCCUGCCGGGGGCGCGGGCGGGUGUGUGAGAGAGAAGGCGAAGGGAGCCGCGGGGUGGGAGAGGAGGGAGUCCCGGCGGGAGGGCGGGGGAGAGACUGGCGGGAGGGGGGCUCCACGGAGCUCCAGCCAGGGCCGCGGUGCGCCUGCACGUCACGGCUACUCAAACCCAAGCACGUCCCGAAAGCGGUAUUUUCUGCGUCUGGGAGGUUUUUGCAUCCUCAGUUCCCACCGCUGGGGCUGGCGGCGACCAACUGUAAGAGAAACUCACUGGGAGGCGAGGCAGGGGGGUGCGGAGGAUGGGAAGGCGACUCUGAAGGGUGGGAAGUGAAUGCUGGACUUGAUCGUCUUUCUCUUUCUUUCAGCGCAGACCUGUCGCAGCCAGAGAGCUGUCAUUUCAGUACCGGGAUUCAGAACUGAUCCAGUCCGCAGCGGAGGGGGCACAUCCCAGCUACCGAGCUGCUGAGUGUCUCUGGCUGGAACAAUAGUAUUUUUUUCUCUGCGAGGCUGCAAUUAACAUCUUAUUUUUUCUGGCUCCAUACAGGCUUUGUCAGGAUCGCGGUGCGGCGACCGACGUUGGGCUCUUGCAUUGCUUUCUGCUUGGCAAUGGAAUCAUGGUUUCGGGGUCUAAACUUUUGUUUCGUUUUGUAGUCUUAAUGUAUCUGAUUCUUUUUCAAGUUUCCCUAGUAACAGGUUUGGGGACGGGGUGGGAAGAAGCGAGAAAAGGGGUGAAGAGAAAAAAACAGAUUAUAUAGAAAGGGAAAAGGGAUGUUUCCCCACCUUUUAAUCUAACUAUCUAUCUGUCUGUCUAUCUAUCAUCAUAGAUAGUCAUUUUGCCUCCUGGACAGUUGGCUGACGAAGUGUCUGAUAAACCAGCUUCAGAUACAUGCUACAAAAGGUCAUUCGCCUCCUGAUUAUGUUUCUACUUGUAAACGCAGUUGGUGGUUUGCAAAACAAGUGCUAAAAUAGUGCAGUGAUGUGGUGGGAGGAAACCAUAAUGGGUAAUUCAUAUAAAGUGCUGGAAUCUUCGUAAGGGCUACUGAGCUGGCCUGAUGAUGAUCCUGCUGAGAUAUAUUUAUAGCAGAUGAUUUGUGGAUGAUAACUACGCCAAGCAAGACACUGUCUCUAGUAACCCCAGGCUCGUCUGACUUCCUCAGGGGAUUAUAAUAAAGAAUCACAAAAAGAACCCUAUAUGGACAGUCUGGUCUCUGGACACUAACAACAGCACAAUCCAAAGGCAAAGCAAGGAGGAACCACCUUGUUUCAUGUCUGCAAGAUGCUCCAUAUGAAAGCAUUACUGACAUGUUGACCCAACAGCAAAAAGAGAGCAGCAGUUUACACACCCUCAGCUCUCUGUCCUUUCCUUUCUAUUGAUGUUGGUCCACUUUUAUGACUGAAUACAUAUUAAAAUCACCAUUUCAAAUUAUAAUUAUCUGCUUUCAUUGGUCUCUUUCACAAGUCUAUGUCUGUAUUUAUGUUUACAUAUAUAAACACAUACACAUAUUUUAUACAUACAUAUGUAUAUGUAUGCACACAUUAUUUGUAAGUACACAUACACAUAUGUGUGUGUGUAUAUAUAUGUAUAUGAUAUGUAUAUGUGUAUUUCAGUUGAUACACAUAUAUUUGCUUGGGAAGUUUCACUACAUUGCUUUGUAUUUCUCUUUUAUAAAGUAAUGCAUUUAAUUCCAAAACUACCAGAUUAAUUGUAUAAAUUGAUUAUUACAUAAGUUUCCUUGAUGAUUUACAGAAGAACUAUUGAGAGGUCAGUGUUAGCACAUCAAAAUAUAGUCUGGUAUGGCAUUUUAAAUUUACCCAGGUAUCUAAUAUUAAAACCUUUCAAAUUUAUCUCUCCUGUUAUUAUUUUAUUAAGAUUACUUUGGAAUGAUGAGUUUAUAAGUGUGAUUUAUUUCUAUGUUUCAUCUUUUUGUCUGUAUGUGCUAAGUUUAGUCCCUCCACUUUGAGAAUAAUCCUAUAAUCCAGGAUCAUUGCUUAAAAUUCAGUAUCAUUUGCAGAAUUCUCAUACUCAAAUAAGAAUGUUUCUAGAAUAUGUUUACUCAAUUUUAGAAAGUGUUUUCUCUUUCCUUCUUUCUGUCAUAGUUUUUCUGAUAUUACUGUAUUACCACAUUCUAAACUCUGUGACUUGUUAUUUUCAGUAAGGCUUUAAGAAGCAUGGAUAGGUUUGUAGGUUAUUUCUUGUUAAAUAUGCCUUAAUUUUUUAGUAUUUAGUAUUAGUAUUUAGUUUUUAGUAUUUAGUAUUUAGUAUCUCCCAUAUAUAUGCACACAUAUAUAUACACACAUAUAUAUACACAUAUAUAUGUACACAUAUAUGUACACAUAUAUAUGUACACAUAUAUGUACAUAUAUAUACACACACAUAUAUAUACACAUACACAAAGCUUUGGAAUGUUAAUUAAAUGAUCAAAAUAUUACAAGAUUACAUUGUUAUGAGAACUUAUCCUUAAAAUUAGCAUAUUUACUAUAAAGUGAAACAACUUCUCCUCUGUCUCCUCCUGUUUAUUAUCAUUAUUUUAUUAUUAUUAAAAAAGGAAGUCUCUCAGAAACCAAGCUGUAUAUCCUCUAGUCUCUAUGUAAAAAACAAAUUGGUCAUUUUCUACUUGGACAUCCCAGAAUAGAAAGUACAUUGAAGUAUUUAAAAAUAAAGGGAUAGACUUGGGGUUAAGGGAGAUGUCAUAGAACAGCUAUCCUGGGUUAGUUCAAGUGUAGUCCUAUUCCAUGCUAGGCAAAGUCAAGGUUACAAAAAUCCCAGUUGCAUCAGGUUUCCAUUUUUUUAUCAUUAUUUCCCUAUACAAUGAUACAAGUUAAAAAAAAGUCGGUAAAUACUUUUGGCCAUCAAUUUUCAAGAUUUCAUUGGUGAUAUUAAGGAAAUGCUGUAAGUAGGUAACACAUAAUGUCAUAUUUGUGUGCUGUAGAAGUAUCUUGGAAAAUAUGGACUUUAAAACCUCAAUAUAUGGGUUUGCAAUCGAACAUACAUUCACCCCCAAAUUUGACCUUUUUCAGCUAGUUAUUUUCUCAUAUAAAGUUACUAUACUUACACCAUUAUCUUUAAUCCCUGAAAUUUCAAUUAUACUAGAAAUCAAGAUUCUUCAUUUUUACUCACGAAACUGACACUAAGUAUAUACCUCAUUAAGGACAAGAAGCUAUGAAUUCUCUGGACUUCAGUUAUCUCACAGAAAAGAGCUUGAUUGAAUAAUGUCUAAGGCUCUUCCUGACAUAGUCUAAAUAACAGAAGGUGUCUCACAAGAAAUGGAAGCAGUGAGAGAAAAAUGCAAUUAAAUCCUAGACUAGAAAGAAUCACAAUUUUCCCACUCACAGGUUGGAAAUGCCUCUCUAUUCUAUCACAAUUUUGAAAACCUCCAUAGUUUUACUAGCUUUGCCUUUCUCCCUUGCUAUCAUCUUCUGAGGUACAGACAGUCCUUUCCAUUUUUAUUCCUCUCCCACUCUGAUAAUUUUUUUCUUUGACAGAAGUCCCACUUUAUCAUUAAUGAUGACAAUAACUAAAGCUGCCAGGAACAGCACAUCUGCUGAGCUUUAUCAACACCAGAUUCUCUCAUUUUGCCUUCUGGAUCUCCAUGCUUUUUUAUACCAACAAACAAGAGGAAGAAUAUUCUCUACCCACUUCCUUGACUGAAGCCUGCUCUUUUAUGAAGACAUGGCAUCUCUUCCAACAGUGUCAAACAGAUGCAAUUUAUGUGUCUGCUGCUUCCAUACCCUGAUUAAAUGGGUCAGUGGCAGAAUCAGUAUCCUUAAUCUCCCCUUUGGUUUCAAAUAUGUACUCCUUAUUUCAGUUUCAUGCUCACCUUUCUGUAGAGAUCAAGGCAUCUGCCUUUGCAGCUUUACCUCUUCCUCCAGGUUAUAGUUUCCAUUCAUGGAAUCUUUUAGCUGCUGGCUGGCAGUUUUCCUGUCUACCUGACUUCCAUUCCUCUUCUCAUGACUUCAGCUCCCAUGCAGAUGUCUUAUCCUGACACACUAGCUUCUCCAUUCUAUUUCUGUGUGUGUGUGUCUGUGUGUUUCCCUACUAGUUCAUCCACAUUUCCCUAUGGUCUUUUUUUUUAUGUUUUAUUUUUGCAUAUGUGUAUUUCCUUUUAUUUUUUUUAAUUAUUAUACUUUAAGUUUUAGGGUACAUGUGCACAAUGUGCAGGUUAGUUACAUGUGUUUACAUGUGCCAUGCUGGUGUUCUGCACCCACUAACUCGUCAUCUAGCAUUAGGUAUAUCUCCUAAUGCUAUCCCUCCCCCCUCCCCCCACCCCAUAACAGGCCCCAGAGUGUGAUGUUCCCCUUCCUGUGUCCAUGUGUUCUCAUUGUUCAAUUCCCACCUAUGAGUGAGAAUAUGCGGUGUUUGGUUUUUUGUUCUUGUGGUAGUUUACUGAGAAUGAUGAUUUCCAAUUUCAUCCAUGUCCAUACAAAGGACAUGAACUCAUCCUUUUUUAUGGCUGCAUAGUAUUCCAUGGUGUAUAUGUGCCACAUUUUCUUAAUCCAGUCUAUCAUUGUUGGACAUUUGGGUUGGUUCCAAGUCUUUGCUAUUGUGAAUAGUGCUGCAAUAAACAUACGUGUGCAUGUGUCUUUAUAGCAGCAUGAUUUAUAGUCCUUUGGGUAUAUACCCAGUAAUGGGAUGGCUGGGUCAAAUGGUAUUUCUAGUUCUAGGUUCCCUAUGGUCUUUAACUAAAAAGUCUAACCAGUGACUAAACUGCUUCCAGUAUUUAAAAUUUAAUGUUUCAAUUCUCCAAUUACAACCUUCUGCUUUUAUAAACUCACCUCCUAAGUAACCACAUGGAAUCAAGUCUUUCACAAAAUUCAGGUCUUUUUUUUAUUAUUAGUGAUUCCCACCAAUUUCUGCUCUUAUCUUCACUUUCCUCCUUAUACCCUGUGGUAAGCAGCCUCUAACAUGGACCCAAAUGAUCCCUACUUCCUGAUAUGUGUGUCCUUGUGUAAUUGUCUCUCUCUUGAAUGUGGGCUAGAUUUAGAAAUUUGCUUUUAUCAAACAGAAUAUGGUAGUAGCAAUGGGAUGUUAAGAUAUAAAAUGACUGUGUUUUCCAUCUUGGGAGCUCCUUUACUCUUCCUUAGAGCAUUUGUUUGCCAGUAAGCCAGGUGCCAUGUUGUCAUACAGCCCUAAAUAGAGAAGUCCAUGUGAGUUUGGCCUUCUGAGGCCUGUCAAAAGACACAUGAGUGAGCUCAGAAGUGGAAGCUUCCUCAUUCAAGUCUUGAGAGGACUGCAGCCCAGCCAACAUCUUGGUUGCCACUUCAUGACAGGCUUGAGCCAGAAUCAAGCAGCUAAGCUGCUUCUGGAUUCCUGACCUACAGACACUAUAGAUCAGGAAUGUUUGUGGCUUCCAACUGCUAAAUUUGGGGAUAAUUUGUUAUGCAAAUAUAGGUAACUAAUGUAUAUCCCAUGGAUUCCACGCCCAUUGUUAUAAAAAUUUACUUACAACAAUCUUCAGCUAUUUAACAUUUUUCUGGUAGAUCACCACGUUUACUGUGAUGAACAACUGCCCUUCCUGAUCCAGGACCCAUGCAGCAGAGCAUUACUGAAGAAAUUCACACCCUCAGGCAGUUAGCUGUCCCUGUAAAGUUAUAGUCACCAGGUUCUCAUGAUCUCACCACACAGACUGUUACUUAUAAGCUCCCUCUCUUAUUACACCCUAUGAAUAUUUUGUAACUUUUCUUUGAUCAUUAAAAAUGCUUCUCCUCAACUCUUGAAUGAUAAGUGAUAACCUUUCUUCAUUCAUUAUUUAUAAAACAGAUGUGAUUAGAUGGAAAAUACCUUAUAUUCAUUAAACUGAUUGUACCUUCACCCAUUUUCUCCUGUCUUCCUAUCUCCAGGGAGAUACUGCUCUUAUCUAAGAGCCAUCCCCUCCACAAGUAACUUGCAUAUUACUUCUAUUGGCUCUCACACCAAUAAUCUCUCCCUCUCUCCUGGACCACUUCCAUCAGCAUACAUAUUUUAUAGCAAUACUACUUGUCUAAAAACUUCUGAUCAACAACCUGUUUCUCAGAUACACUUCAUAAUGAAUCUUUUUUUAAAAAGCAAUCACAUUCAGUUCACUUCCUGACUCCCUCUCAUUUCUCAACUCAAUCCAUUCUGGCUUCCACCCCCACAAUUCCACUGAAAAAAAAUCUUGUCAAAAAUCACUAAAGACCUUCAUGAUGCCAAGUUAAAGGGAUAAAUGUUUUCCUCAUCUUACUCUAACUUUCAGCAGCAUUUUAAAUGCAAUGCCCUCCUUUUGGAAACCAUCUAUUUUCGUUUCUGUUUUAUCAUACUCUCCCAGAUGUACUUUUACAUCACUGAUCACUGUGAAGACACUGAGACACUUCUCAGUGUCUUUUGCUUGUUCUUCUUCCACAUUAACUUGAAAUGCUGACUGCUUUAGAGAUAAGUGUUGGAUGUACUUCCCUUAUUUCUCUACCACCUCCCCUUCGGUAAUCUAAUCCACUCCCUAAUAUUGAAUAAUAGGGAGUGAAUAAUCCACUCCCUAAUGAGUAUGUAUAUGUACAUACAUGCAUACACAUAUAUGAAUAGACACCCCAUGUAUAUUCCUUUAACAAGGAUAUCUCCUCUGAGCUCUAGAUUUUUAAAUAAUCAGCUGCUGUGAUUUAUAUCUCUACUAAAUAUGCCUCACAGUCAUCUCAGAUUUGGGGUAAUUGAAGAAAAAUUCCUGAUUACUCCAAAGAAAUGUGCUCUUCCCUCAGUCUUUCUGUUUCAGGAAAUGGCAUCCCUAUCCACCUAGUUAUUCCAUUGGCAAACAUGGGAAUGAUACCUGCUGCUAAUUUUCUAUCACUCUACAUCUAAUCCCUUGACAAAUAGUGCCUGUUCCACUUUGUAGAAGUUUCCUAGGGCUGCCAUAAUAAAAUUCCAUAAUGUGGGUGGUUUAAGCAACAGAAAUUUAUUUUUUUUUCAGUUUUGGAGGCUAGAUGUCUAAAAUCAAGGUCCAUAUUGGAUUGGUUCCUCUGGGGCCACUUUCUCUGGCUUGCACAUGGCUGCCAUCUUGCUGCCUCUUCAAAUGGGGUUGGGGUGUGCAGAGAUGGGCACAAUUCAGCUCAUGAUAUAACUGCAAUACAUAGAUCUCAAACCUAACCAGUUGUUUCUUUUUUCACUGUUAUCUUUUGCGUGUGUGUGUGAAGUACGUAGUUUUUGCUUAGUCUAUUCUACCUGGCAUUCAAUAUUCUUUGUUAAUCUAUCUCUAAUAAGUUAUACUUCAAAAACGUAUCCCUUUAAAAUCAAAUGGAAAAACAUUUUAAUUCCAGGUACUUCUCACGUAGCACAAAUAAUAAAAUCCAAACUUUUAAUUGUGACCGACUGUGCCCUACCUCAUCUGAUUCUCGCUCCUCUCUCUAACUUCAUCUUGUGUCACACUUCUGCUUACAUAUAAUGCCCAAGCUACAUUCACCUUUUUCUAAGUCACGAGGACGCUACAUUUUUAUCUCCUUACAAUCUUCCAAUGUCAGAAUUAUUCUACCUGGAAUACACUUCCCUUUUUCUACUGCUAGGAGAAACUUUAUAGGCCUGACCUGCCCGCUUCUCAUGCCUCAGAUUUCAUCUGGAAAAUUCCCUUUUUGGAGCUUUUAAAUUUUUUUUUUAACCACCCUAUCUAUGGUGAUCUCUCCUUGUGUUCUCUUUCAAGGUACUUAUCUGUUUUGUUUUGUUUUUUUACUCAGGUAUAUACUUUAAGUUCUGGGAUACAUGUGCAAAUGUGCAGGUUUGUUACAUAGAUAUAUACGUGUGCAUGUUCUCACUCAUAAGUGGGAGUUGAACAAGGAGAACACAUGGACACAGGGAUGGUAACAUCACACACUGGGGCCUAUCUGUUUUAUACUAGUUACCAAUUUUUAUUUAAUUGGUCUUCAUCUUUUUGUUUUUUAUGAGUGUGUUAGCUCCAUCAUUACAAACUCCUGCCUAAAGUAGUGCAAGACACAUGGUGAGUGCUUCCUAGGUCUUUAGUGAAUAAAUGGGUUGAACAACAUGGUAAAUCUUAUAUAUGGGUAUUAGUUAUGUCCAUUGGAGAAAUAUCUAUUCCAACAGCUCACGUAUUCCUGCAUAACAACUCAGCUAGAGUUCUCUCUUCCCUGUACCAAAUUCCUGAUUUCCUGAGAAAUUUCUCAGGUGAGAUGGUCUCCAGACUUUUCAUCUUUAUGACUGUUUUCAAUUGAUCUUAGCUUGUCACAGUUCUUUGAUGCCACAAUUAAACAAAAUACUCCAGAUUUCAGCUGCUCAGCAUGGUUGUAAUACCCUUAUUUCUUCAAUCCAGAGAAAUAAACAGGGAGCAUCUAUGUAGCCAAACUGAAUUUAUAAUGAUGAAUGUCUCAUAUGAGGAGAAUAAGGCUUUCAAAUCCCUGAAGUCAACUGAUCAUUUACAUAUUUAACACAUAAUUAAUAAGCACUUACACCAUAUAAGAUAGUUGUAAGGUGUUUGGGAAACUGAAAUGACAACACAGAGUCCCUGCCCUUCUGAUGAAUGCCUUGUAUUUGUAGUGAGAGCCAAUGAACAGCAAGCCACCAGAUAAUUAUUAAUGGCAAGUGUGUCAAAUGUCUCAGAGAAGAGACAAAGGAAGUUGUGAGAGGUGUGGAGUCUGUUUGUGGGAACAGAGGGGAUGACCUAGUAUGGAAGGGCAGAGAACAUUUAUUUACCUGAAUACGUAACGGUUGACCAGCAAUUCGAAGGAUACUAACGAAAUUUAGUCAUGCUCAUCAAAGGGAACAGAGCGUACAAAAAAAUUGAGGCAGAAGGAAGUGGAACACAUUCUAGGUAAAGAAAGUUAAGGUGAGGGAAUAAAAAGGACAAAGAGGUCAGUGACAAUUGAUAACAUUUCUGAUAAAUUGUUUGCUAAAUAUUAGGAUAAAAAUCAGUGAGUCUUGGCUGGGCACGGUGGCUCACGCCUGUAAUCCUAGCACUUUGGGAGGCUGAGGCAGGUGAAUCACCUGAUGUCAGGAGUUCGAGACCAGCCUGGCCAACAUGGUGAAACGCCGUCUCUACUAAAAAUAUAAAAAAUCAGCUGGUCUUGGUGGUGGGCACCUGUAAUCCCAGCUACUCGGGAGGCUGAGGCAGGAGAAUCACUUGUACUCUGGAGGCGGAGGUUGCAGUGAGCUGAGAUUGCGCCAUUGCAUGCCAGCAUGGGCGACAAGAGCAAAACUACAUCUCAGGGGAAAAAAAAAAAUCAGUGAGUCUUUGUAAUAAUAAUAAUAUGAUUGAAAGGAUUGUAAACAGAGACUAACUCAGAUUUACACAUUUUAACAACUAAUUUUCAUUUCAGUCAGAGGAGCGAUUUGAGAGAGGUAAGAGUGAAUGUGAAGAUUCAAGUCAGGAAACUGUUACAUAAGUGAAAAUGGUGGCAUCAGUAUGGAUGAAGAAGAGAAGUGUCCAAGAGACCUUUGGAGGCAAAAUUAAUAGAAUGUGUCAAUGGUUAGGUAUAAGGAGAACGACUGGAUCUGGAUAAGAGUCUCUGUUAGUGAAUCUGCUGUAUGCACUGCUGGUUCAUAUUCAAGUGACAGUUAGUUAAAAUACGUUGAUCUAGAUAUUUAUUUAUAUUUAGAAUUAAGUGUUUAUUACUUUAUACAAUUGAAUUUGUGAUCUUAAAUGUGUGUGUGUGUGUGCUUGAGAGACAGUGUGCGAGAGAGAGAGAAGGGAGAGAGAGACACACACAGAGAGACACACACAAAACAUGGCGACAGAAAAUAACAAUUUAUUUGUCUCACAAAUAUGCAAUCUGGGGAGUCCUUUUCUGUUGGAAUAGCUUGUCUUUUGACGCUGUCUUUCAGGGUCAUCUUGAAUAAACUGGGUGUGAAGGGUCCAUGUCCAAGAUAGCUCCACCUGUGACUGGCAUUUGGCACUAGCUAUUGGCUGGGGGCUCAGUAGGAGCCGUAACACAGGGGAUGUAGUACCUCUUUACACAGGCCAUUCUAUAGGGCUGCUUGCUCUUCCACACAGCAUUGCAGCUGUCUUUCAUAAGUCAGUGUUCGAAAAUGUAGGAAAAGAAAUCUGUCAGUGUCUUAAGACCUAGGUCUGUAAAUUGGUACAGAUUCAUAUCUGACAUUAUUCUUAGUCAAACAGUCACUAAGCUUGUUCAGCUUCAAGGUGCUGGUGGAGGGGGGCUGGGCUGGGAGGGAGAGAGCUGAAAAAUCGCUAGUUCUUAAUGUAGUCACCAUUCUCAAUGAAAGGAAUAUUAAAGAAUGUGUGAUAUGUGGUGUACACUCUGUUCAUUGACAUCUUCUUGCUGGAUUCUAUCAUUCAAUAUGUUAGGUAUUAUUCCAUAAUCAAUGACAUCUGCAUAUCUGAAGUGAUUUCCAAGUCAGUGGCCACUGUUUCAACAUAGUGUCAGUGACAUACAACUAGAAACAUUUCUCCAUUAUAAUGCAAACUUCUAGAGGGCAGGAAUAUUAUCUUAUCCCAUAAUAUCAGCCUUUGGACAGCACUUGAUAAAUAUUGUUUUUCUAGCUCACUAAUUGAGAUCCUUUUAGUUGUUAUAGAAUGUUAUUUAACCAAACAAUCCAUAUUUAUCUUUCCUUUCUUCAGGAACAUGAGAGAUUAUUUCAAAUACCUUGUAAGAAGAAGAAGCAUAUGUACUAUGCUUACAACAUUCUGCUCUGUGACAUCCCUAGCAGUAGUUGUUAGAUUAAUAGUAUUAUUUCUUAGUAUAGCCAGGCUGGUUUCUAUUUAUCCCCAUUUUGUUUUCUAUAAAUUCACAAACCACCUAUUCUGUAACAUAUUCCAUAAUUUUUACAGAGACCACUAUUAAAUUUAAAGUUUAUUAAAUUUAAUACAGCACGAUUUCUAGAAUUCAGCCCCUUUUCCCAUUUAAAAUAAAGCCCGUAUUUAUCACCUACUACUAUUUUUUCCUGUGUCCACCUAUUUUCCAAGAUUUUUCAAACGUAGUUGGAAAUACUUUAAUAAGAACACUUAUACUUUCUUUAAGUAUACUGUGAUGUAAUUUUUCUAGACCAGGACAUUUGAAAAAAUGAUAACAUACCUAAGGAUUCUUUCAUUUUCUUGAUUUCUCGGGUAUUAUUUUACUUUUAAACAUUGUUGGUCCAUGCUUACAAAGUGAAAAAUAAUUCUUUUUUGAUUGAAGAUGGAAUCAAAGCAGGAACUGAGUUAUGUUUCCUCCUGUUUUCUUAUAUCAUUAAACAUUCUGUGCCAUGAAGGCAGAACUUUUUUCACACUUCCUGUUAUUUUUACACAUUUGAAAUUUUUUACUUGUUUUAUCCUUCUUUAUGUGGGCUUCUUUCUCUCGUUCUAAUAUCCUUUUUAAAAAAAACUUAGAAUAAGGGUUUCUACUGAUACAAAUGACUGACUUGUAUUAUUUUCAUCAUAAUUAACAAGAUUUAUAUAUAUUAUGCAUUUUCAGCAAUUUAUUUUCUUUUAAUAUUUAAACAAAAUUUCUUGAAGUUGUUGUUGUUGUUGUUGUUGUUGUUUUUCUGAGACAGUCUUACCCUGUGGGCCAGGAUGGAGUGCAGUGGAGUGAUCUCGGCUCACUGCAACCUCCGCCUCCCAGGUUCAAGCAAUUCUCUGCCUCAGCCUCCUGGGUAGCUGGGAUUACAGGUGCCCGCCAACACGCCUGGCUAAUUUUUGUAUUUUGUAGAGACGGGGCUUCACUAUCUUGGCCAGGCUGGGCUUGAACUCCUGACCUCGUGAUCCACCUGCCUUGGCCUUCCAAAUUGCUGGGAAUACAGGCAUGAGCGACCGUGCCUGGCCUAAGAUAAAAUUUUUUAUCAAAAAUUUCAAGCCUUUUGGGGGGAAAUUUGUUUACCAAAGUCCUUUUUAUAUAUGCCUAAUUUUUAAUACUAUGGAGAAUUUGACAGUCUCAAUUAUGGAGAAGACAAUUUUAUGGUAGGUUUUUCUUUGAUUUUACUAUUGAAGAUUAAAUCUCAAGCAGAUUUGUCAUUUCUAUAUUAACACUGUCUUUCUAUGAUCUUAAUUGCUUUUACUAAGGGGAAAAUUGGUAAAUAGCUCCUCAAAAAGUUCUUUAUUUUAAAGCCAUCUGACCUACUUAAUUGGCUCUUUCAAUGUUAACAUCUGAAAAAUUUCUUUAUGUCCUAGAGCCCAUUAAGUAUUAUCGCGAAGUUGAUGCUGCCCGGAUUGCAGGCAUAACACUCAGGUGACAUCUUAAUCCUUAGGACAUUAACUAUAAAGCAAUUACUCAGUGACUUAAAAAGAAAAACAAACUGGUAAUUUGAUAUCAAUUAUCUGAAUGCAUCUUCACAUCUUUGUUAUAGGAAAGGCAAAGGGAUUCAACAUGCAUUUUAUUAAUCCUUUUCCCUUUGUGCCUCUCUUGAAUCAAACUGAAUUAGAAAUAAUAAAUCCUUCACUUUAAUCUGUCAUUAAGAUAAGAAAAUGCAGCUCCAGAUCAGUUUAUUCAGUUUCCCCAUAGGCUACGAAUGAAGUAUCCUCAUUGAACAAAUGCUACCUUCUGAAUAACUGGAGGCAUAAAACAGGAAGAAUUUCAUGUUUCACACAUGCAACUAUUUUAAUUUGAAUCAGAAUUUCAUUUUGCAUGCUGUCCUCAUUUCAGGGCCCUUGGUAACAACGAAAUAUAUACCAAGCCAAUUUUUUCAAAACUAACUUAUAAAUUAGGAAAAAUAAUCUAAAUUAAGCCCAAAUAUUGGCAAUGAUGAAUCAUUCCAUUUAUCCACUCUCCAUCAUUCUAUAGCAACAAUUUACUGCUGUGUUUCUUUAACUUGUUCCAUCAUCAGUGUAAACUGGUGUGUUUACUAAAAUAUGCACACCCUGACUUCCUUCCAUGAGGAUUCUGAUUCUUUAGGCUUUUUAGGCUUAUAUUUUUAACUAUAACCACAUGUGAUUCCUAUGAUCAGACAAGUUUGAGAAAUGAUAUGCUUUCAGGUCCUUGGUUUAUAGAUAAGGAAACUGAGACACAAGUCACCAAGAGUGAACAGCCCAGGAUUACCCAGAGAGGUAAUGACCAAGUUGACAUGAGAAUCCAGGUUUUGAUGGUCUGUUACUUUUUCACAUUUUCAAAACCAUUUAUAUUUGAUAUAUUUUUUCUUUAAAUUCCUAAGUGAGAUAAUUAUUUUUUUCUCUGGAGUACUUUUUUUAAUCAUUAUAUUAGAUUACUUGAACAAAUUUAUGCUGUAUUAUCUUUUCUUAUUUGUUAAGAUAUAGGCAUUAUUUCCUGGGACUUGCAUUAGAACUGCUUAUAGUAGGCACCCUUCAAUUGAUAUGAAGCCACUCUGAUUACCUUGUCUUAUCUUGGCCCAGAUAGAGAGUUGAUCAAACAUCUUAUAACCACUGAGAGUGUUGAUGGGUACAAUUGAAUACUCAGGGAGGCAAUCUAAUUCCUUUGAAAUUAAUUAAUUAAAAUUAUAAAUGGACUUCAUGGAAGUGAAAGAGCUAUUCAUAGAACUAAUAAAAUGUUAUUAAUGCAUUCAUUUAAGAAGAAUAUGUGUUAUGCUUUUGUUCCAGCAGCACAUAUGCCAUAUGUGAAAUCUCAAAGGAGAUUAUCAUGGCCCACAGUGCAAAGACAACCAAAACACAGUAGUGAAGCAGUAUCGCUUUUGAGACAGACCAAAGUUUGAAUUCUGACCCAGCCUCCUAUGACUUUGUAGACUUGGACAAAUCAUUUUACACCAAAUUUUAGUAUUUUUUUUAAAAAGAAUUAUUAGGAUAAUACUGCUUAUUUUAUAUUAUUAAUAUAAAGAUUAAGAAUAACAUAGGAAAUGCCAAAUACAGUGGCAGAAGUCAAAGGAACUUUAAGAAGUGGUAACUAUUAGUGCUGUUGACAAGCAUAUUGUAUGACUCUGGGUUAAACACAGAGGAGGUAAAGACAAAUACGAAAAGCUCCUGUUCUUAAGGCAAAGGAAAGUUUUGAUCUGAAAUAUUGGAGAUAGCACUGAGCGGAGUGAAAGAAAAUGGUUCUAUAUUUCACGUAGUAACAAUGGUCUACUUACAUUUUAUUUAGCCUAGAGACUACUUGCCUUAUCAAAUAUAUCAAGCACUCAGCAAAGUUAAAAAGAGCAUAUAUAUAUAUGCAUUAAGCAGUUGUCUUGAGGUACUAACUUUUAUGAGAACUUUUCAGAACUUACAGAUAACCAGGAGUCUGACUGGUUAUCUGUAAGUUCUGAACACGUUUAAAUUCAUUUCAAAGAUAUUAUGUAUAUGAUAGGGUUGAUUUAUGAUUUUACAAGUAACAUUUAAAACACAAAUCUGUCCUUAUUUCUGAAUAUAAUGCCUAGUUAUAAGUGACAUAUAAAACCAGCAUUCAGAUAUAUCCCGAAUUAUGUCAAAGAAUUUUAUUUAAUCAAACUUGGGUAAUGAAAAAUUAGCCCAUAAUUCAGGAAAAAUGUUAGAAUUUUAAAUUCAAAAUUUGAUUUCUUUCUGUGAAAAUAGAAAUAAUAAACUCAAAAUAUCUAUUAAAUAUCAAAGUACUCACAGAAAUGAGAAAGUAGUACUGGAAUCUGUAAACCUACUUUUCAUUCUUGAUUAUUUAAUAGCAAUCACCUUAAUUCUCAAGAGUGGCAAAAUAAUGGAGUCAAGACAUGUGUUAACUAUAACAAUUUCAUGUUUAUUUCAAUCUACAUGAUUAAAAGUUUGCUGAAAGAGGCAUUGAAUGUAAAGUUUUAUUCUGAGGUGAACAUUUCUAGCCAAUGUCAGACUACUUUUAACCUUCUGAAAAACACUUACAGCAUAUGACUUUGGCAGUAUAAUUGAGUGUUUCUGUAGUAAGUCUCAAGUAAUUGGAAAAUUAAAUUUCUGUCAUGUGUUUACAGUAAAGAGCAGAUUGUAAUAAUCAUUAAAAACUUAGAUCAUAAAAAUUAAAAUUUAAGGUUAAACUCUAUAGCUGUUAUUAGGCACUGAAGUUUCAAAAUGUGUUAAGUGGUGUUCUAGGAUCAUUACUAUGUGUUACUAAAUUGCAACAUUCUUUCUAGGCAGUUAUUAUGUGUAAGAGUUAAUUUGUUACAACUACCAGUAUUUUCAUUUCCUAAAAUUUGUGGAUUCUGUCAAUUACUUUAAUGCAAAAAGAAAACAGGACUGGAAACUUUGGGAGAGAAGAUUAUACAUGUUGUGGGACAAAUACAUCUUAUUCUUCUGAGUCUCUGUAAAUAAUCACUAUGUAGCAAAGACAUCAAAUUCUCACAUCUAUACCCAUGGAGUUCAUAAAAAAUUGUGAAAUUCCAUUAGAAUUCAAUAGAAAUUUUAGAAUCAGAUCAGCUCUCCUGUUAGGUAAAGAAAAUUGAUGUUGAUACCUGAACAGCAUAUAAGAUCUAGAAUAAUAUAUCAAAAGAGGUUUCUUUCCAACUUGUAUAUUUUCCUCAUGUCUGUUGGAAUGUGAAAUGGAACCAGAUUCUAGGUUUAACAAACCUAAAUUUUGAUCAAAUUCCUAUAUCAUCCAUUUGACAAAUUUGACACUUUAAUUUACUCUUUCUUUUUAACAUAAGCAUUCCAUUUCUAUCUAGAUGAUGAUGAUAGAUAGAUAGAUAGAUAGAUAGAUAGAUAGAUAGAUAGAUAGAUAGAUAGAGAUGAUAUUAAUAGGAGUCCUCUAUGUCUCCUGAUAUCUUAAUAAGAAUGCUUAAAAAACCCAAUUUCAUACUUGUGGAAAUUACAAACCCCUCAACACACAAUUUGACAUUGCACAUUAGACAUUCAUGUUCCUAAAAUUUUCUUUAAUUAUAGCCCUUUUUCUUUUCCAUAUUCUUUUCUCCAAUUUCUUCCCAUUUUCUCCAGGAAAAAUGAGCAAAAAUUUAUUUUAUCUUCUCUUGUAAUCCUUGUACCUCUGUCAUCAAAUCACACUGCCAAGCAACCCACUAAUGCAUUUUUCCAAAGAUAUUUAUUUCCUCCCUGAGAAACGUUAUGGUGCCAGCUAUAAUUAAUUUAAAUAUUGCAUAAAUAAAUCAAUAUCAACAUUGGUAUUGAUAUUGCUGAUUAUAUUUUGCGUAUCAUCUUGGCUAAGAGGGUUAAUUCUGAAAUUAGAAUCCUGGGUUUAAUUUGUAGUAUUACCACUUACUCAUUUAAGGUUUUUAACUUUUAUUGAAACUUGAUUUCUUCAACAGUAAGGUGGAGUGGGAUAAAUAGUCCUCACAUUGGACAGUUGUUGUGGAAUUAAUCGUAAGGAGUAUUAGUACUGAUUACCAUCCCAGCCAAUCAUAGUCAGUUUCCUUAAAUAUAAAAUGGAAAUAAUAAUACCACCUACUUCCUAAACUUAUUAUGAUGUAUAAGUGAAAAAAAUGCAACUAAAAUGCUAACACAAUUCAUGGUUCACAUUAGUGAGUAAUAUAUUUUAUUGCUACUACAAUUAGCAAUAAACGGUGGUAACACCAUUUUUCUAUACACAGUAUCUCUUUAAUAUAUCUAGCAAUUAAUUCUAACAAAUAAUUAUUUAUAUUAUUUUAAUAAUAUUUUUACAAAUAAUAUGAAACCAGAUAGUUUAUUAUUAACCAUCCUAGAAACAAGCAUUUCUACUGGGUCCACAUGUUCAAACUCAAGCAUUAGCAUUUAUUUAAUAGAUAAAUUAAAAAUAUCUAGUAAGAAACACACACUCUCCAUUUCAUGGUUUUAGAUGUCCAAACCAUUAUUUAGUAGUAAAUUUCACAUAAAAAGAAGAUAAUUUGUAAUUCUUGUUACUCAUGCAUCUAAAUGUUUAUAAUAGGAGGACAGUCUUCUGGGGAUAGUCUUCAUAGAUUACUGUUUCUUAUACAAUUGGACCCCUAAACAAUGUGCAGGUUAGGGGCACUGACACAAGAGCAGUGAAAAAUCCAUACAUUACUUUUGAUGCCCCAAAUCUUAACUACUAAUAUAACCUACUGUUGACUAGAAUCUUUACAGAUUACAUACACACUUGAUUAACAUAUAGACUAGUAUUUACAUAUAUUUUAUGCAUUAAUGACAUACGUUUUUCUUACUGUUUUUGGUAUUUCUAGACUGCAUGGUUCAUCUGAGUUUUUUUCAAAUUGUCACAAAUCUCCAAAAAUUCUUUCGAUAUAUUUAUUGAAAAAACAUCUGCAUAUAAACAGAUCUGCACAGUUCAAACCCGUGUUGAUCACAGGUCAACUGCAUAUUUAUACUAUGUGUAUCUUGACAAGGCUAAUACAAAGAGCAGUUAGACAAGGAAAACAUUAAUUAUGGUAUUAAACUGAAUCAAAAUAAUUAACUUAGAAAACUAUAGGUAGUUUUCUAUGUAUUAUAUAGAAAGAUUAAGGCAUAUCUAGCAUCUGUUAAAGAAACUGUAACCAGAAAGAGAGAAUAACUUAAAUGGUGCAAAAGCCAUUUCAAAAAUUAAAUACUUUGGCUACGUUCAUACUCAUCUCCUUAGUUCAGCUCUUGAAGCAGUGAUCUGGAAAUUAUUCCUAAAGGUCUUUGCUUAUUAAAAUGAUUUGCUAUUAUAGCAAUAACACAAUCUUAUUGUAGAUAGCAUCUGAAAGAAUCAGUGCAAUCCUCUACAUCUUGCCUCCAAGUCUAGGGUUUUUCAUCUUUUUUUAAUACAUCACUCUAUUCUCCUGGCUAAGUUCAUAUCCUCUUGGUUUAAAGCCAAUUUUUAAUUGAAUUCAGUUAGUUUAAUUGCUCCUCAGAGAUGUCCAUAAAAUGUGCUCUCCCAGAUUUUCUAGCAGAAAUGCCAUUGUCUCUGCUCAGCAUUCCCAAGCAGACAGCAAAACUGCCAUCAAGCUCCAUCUUGCUCAACAAUGACUCUUUAAUGUGGACAUCUCGUGUGCUUUGUAUUUCAAUUAUAAUUUAGAAUGAAUUAAAAUCUAUUUAAACGGAUAGCAUCCUCUCUUAGUACUUGAUGGAAAUUCAUUUCAGAACAUUCUAUCUCCUGAAGGUAGCACAGUAAAAAAGUGUGUCAUCCUUUACAUCAUUAAUUUUAUGUCAUCAGUUUUAUUUUCCUUAUAAUUUAAUCCUACAUUUUUAUUGAUUUUCAUUAACCAAAUAAAAUACAGUGAUGUGUUUGUUUCAUAUACUCUUCAUAACUGAAGCAUCAAAGUUUUACUCAAAGAUAAAUUUAGAAGUCCAGAUUUCUGUAUUCUGAUAUUAUAGAACAGAUUUUAGAAUCAGGGAUCUCAUGAAAGCAAGUCAAGUUAUUUUCUAUGGUACUGAAGCAUAAUAUUGUUUCAACAUAAAAAUAUCUCAUGGAAUGAAGUCUAAGGUUACAACAUCAUUUAUACUAAUGAACAUCAUGUUAGAGUUUCACAAUUUAUAGUUUAUGAAGUAGUCGUUUCACAUGUAUUUGAUCACAUAUCAACUCUGUGAAACACAAACAAACAAACAAACAAGAACAGCAUUAUUAUUCCCAGUUUAUAGAUUAGGAAUUAGCAAACUUGGGCCAAAUCUGACCAGCAACAUAUUUGUGUAAAUAACUGUAGCAGAUUACAGCCAUGCCCAGUCACUUAUAUGUUAUUUAUGGCUGUUUUGGAGCUACAAGCCAGAGUUAAGUAGUUGUGACAGAAGCUAUAGGGUCCACAAAGCCUUACAUGGAAAAUUUUGGAGGCAGAUUAGGCUGGAAACUAGCACACUGAAUCCAACACUGUUGGAAAUCUGAAGCCUAAUUUCAUCACCAAGCAAGUGUUCCACAUAUGCCUAAGUUACUCUGUCUUUUAGCCAAAUGUCUGAGAUGGACAUGAUAGAGAUAGUACAAAGAGACUUUCUUUCCUUUUCCUUCUCUCCUGACAACUUAUGUUUAUUUGACCCCUCAGAUAGUAAAUUCCAUUAGGUAUAUUUUCAUUGUAAUCUGAAGAAAACUCAUUAUUCCUGUUCCUGCUGACAAGUCCUUUAGACUGAUUUGUAAAAUAUACCAUAAUAAAGUCUUUUAUAAGAUAAUUUGAAAUAGCAUUUACUUUUGAGGAAGGUAAACCAGGUCAUUCAUCUUUUUCUGUUACUACAGUCCAUUUGCUAGUUUUUGUCCACAUUCUAAUUCUUAUAAACACUGACUCUACAUUAUUCUUAAUUUAAUAUUUUCAUAAAUUUGUAAUUUAACACUAGAAAAAAUGUGUCCUAUUUAUAAAUCCUCUUGAAAAUAUAAAAUGCAAAAUGCAUUUUUAUAGUUUAGAGAUCAUUGGAAGACAUACGAAAUUUUAAAUGUUUUAAAUUGUUUUAUUUUACUAGAUAAUUAAAAAUUCCAAAUACAACGUUUUAAUAGGAAAUAAUAUACCUGUUUUCGGAAAAGAGACACUUUAGCAUGGGAUGUAUAGGCUCCAAAUAGAUUGAAAUCUAACUUAGAAUUCCAUUCCCUUUAUUAUACACUAUACAUUCCCCACUGAUUUGAUAAUAUUUGUUUAGCAUCCAUUAUGUUCCAAGCAUUAUUUUAGGUCCUGUGACACAGCAAUGAACAGAAUAGAAAAGUUCUCAGAUCUCUAGAUGCAUAUGCCAUGUGGUGCUAAGUGCUAUGAUUAUGAAUAAACCCACGUAGAGGAGUAGAGAGUGACGGAGAAGGUGGGGUCAGCUGUUUUUUACAAGUGGUCAAGAAAGGCCUCUGUGGUCUUUGAGAAGAGACCCAAAGUAGUGAGUGCAGGACAGUUUCUGUGUGACCUUGGCUGACCAGGCUCCCCACCCUUUUUCUUCCUUGAAGUUGGUAGAAUAACUGUAGAAUACGCUGUGAAUGCAACAUCCUGAGAUAAGGGGAAGUGGCUGGAAGAGCCCAAGCUCUGUUCCUGUACCCCCAGAACAAUUUAGCCCAAUGCAUAAGGUACUCUGGGGUGUAAAACCCAGCGAGGAAUGUUUUCAGGGUCUCUCACCUGCAGCACAAUGUGAGACACAUGCAGAAAAGACUCCAUCUGCCCUGGACAGCCUUCCUGAACAGCUGACCAUUAGUCUUAGGCUUUUACUGUCCCCUACUACUUCUCUGUGAGUGAGAAGUUGCUUCACUUAACUUGUUUGUAUGAGUGCUGUUCCACUGAACUCACACAAAUGAAUUAAAACCAGUCCAUGGUAUUGGUGAGGUGUUUACAGUCCUCCUCUGGAAUUGAUACUGGGGCACAGUGAACCUGCUUCACCAUAAGGAAUUCAAUCAGUCUUGUAUCUGAAGCCAGAGGUAUUUGAAAUGGUAGAGAUAAUAAGUGCCAAGGCAUGAGCUAGAUAGACAUUUGCUUACUGUGUUUUUGGUACAAGAAAGUUUGAAGGAAAAGGGGAGUUGAUGGAAGAUACAGUCAGAGAGAACUAUGUGGCCCAACACUGAGCUUCCAAACAAACAAAAAAACUGUCCUUGUCCUCCAGGGCACCACUGUGCUCUGUGCCCUAAAAGCUGCCGUCUAGACUCCUUGAGCUGUUGCAGGCUCUUCUCAGGCCACUGUGUUACAUUUUACCACACAAAUGAGAGGUUUCUGGGAUUUAUCAGAUAACUCACUAUCUUAUUUCAAUAAACACCAUGAUAAUUAAACUCAUUUUAUUUUCUUAUUCCAAGUCUCUGUUCAUGGGUUGACACUUUUGAAACAUUUUACUAUCUUAUUAAUAAAGUCAGAUGUUUAAUGUCAUUUUCUCUUAACUAUACAUUACAUUUUAGGUUUGCCCAUAUCUUCCUUAUAUUUACUUGAACAUUUUGUUUCUCUUCAUAACUAUUUCUUUAGUGGACUAAUGUGUCCCAUUUUUAACUUAUUUCCACAAAUAAAUUAUGAUGAUAUAUGGUGAUACAGUUUUCAUAUAUGUUUAAAUCACUUCAACUUAUAAAUUAAAGUUUAUUUUGGAGACUAAAAUUUAGGCAUCACUUUCUUCUACAGAAUAGUAAUGGGUGAAUAAUUUCUUCAUGUUGCAUAUUUCUUGAUUUAUGAAUGAGAUUCUUAAGAGUUGUGAACAGAAAUUACAUAUAUAUGUAUAUAUAUAAUUUCACAAGGAAUGUUUGUUUUUAAAAAAUAUGAACAGUUCAUACUUUGAAGAGGAAAAUAUUCAGAACUAAACAAAAUAAGAUUUUUGUUUACAAUUAUUCAUAUUGUUGCCUAUGCAUAAAUACAUGAGAAUAUAUGUACACAGUUGUAUCAUCCUGUAUAUAUUUUGUAACAUACUUUCUUAAAUGGAAAAGAAAAUUUAAAUGCUUCAUUAAAGUGAUAUAUUUUGCAUUUCAACUUAAAAGCAAUUGAAUAGAAAAGCUGAUACUAGAGUAUGAAACCAUUUAUGUAAUCCUAAAAUUCAAAAUUAUUUUAUAUAUACAACACAGAAAACAAACAUAACAGUUUCAAGAUAGGGUCUACCACUAGAAAAGGAGGACAGAAAAAAGGAGAGUGGUGUGAAUGUUCUUAAAGCUAUCCGUUGAGUGUUAUUUUUUGAUAUAAUAAUCUUUGAGACUAAAUAAUAAACAAAUAAUUGUCCUAAAACAUUACUUUUAAAAUCUUA